UACUAGAGUAGCACUCGCAUAUCAAUAAGCGGAGGAAAAGAAACUAACAAGGAUUCCCCUAGUAACGGCGAGUGAAGCGGGAAGAGCUCAAAUUUGAAAUCUUAAAGGGUUUCCCUUUACGAAUUGUAGUUUAAAGAAGUGUUUUCUGUUGAGGUUAUGGUAAAAGUUCUUUGGAAUAGGACAUCAUAGAGGGUGAGAAUCCCGUAUUUGACCUUUACUUUCAACUUUGUGAUACACUUUCAAAGAGUCGGAUUGUUUGGGAAUGCAGUCCAAAAUGGGUGGUAAAUUUCAUCUAAAGCUAAAUAUUGGCGAGAGACCGAUAGCGAACAAGUACCGUGAGGGAAAGAUGAAAAGAACUUUGAAAAGAGAGUUAAACAGUACGUGAAAUUGUCAAAAGGGAAGCGUUUGACACCAGUGUUGUUUUUCUGAAAAUCAAUUAAAGAACUGUUUAUGCUAAGCUGUUUAGACUUUAUCAGCUAUCUGUUUAGUUUUAGGCUUUUCUUUAAUGCACUUUUCAGUUAACAAGUCAACAUCAAUUCCUUUUGCUGUAAAAAAGCUUGAGGAAGGUGGCUUGAGAUUCGUCUUAAGUGUUUAUAGCCUCUUGCCUAUGCAGUCGGAGAGAUUGAGGUCUGCAGCGUAGAUCCUUCGGGGCUAAAUGCAUUUGUGCUAAGUUAUAGCAUUUUAUAGACAACUUGUUGACUAUGAUUUGUCUUGUAGCUUACUCGCUUAUGUUAUUUUACCUACGCUUAGGAUGUUGAGUAGCGACAUACGCAC
rnacentral:rRNA from 1 species